AACGAACGCUGGCGGCAGGCUUAACACAUGCAAGUCGAGCGCCUCGCAAGAGGAGCGGCAGACGGGUGAGUAACACGUGGGAACAUACCCUUUACUACGGAACAACUCCGGGAAACUGGAGCUAAUACCGUAUGUGCCCUUUGGGGGAAAGAUUUAUCGGUAAAGGAUUGGCCCGCGUUGGAUUAGCUAGUUGGUGGGGUAAAGGCCUACCAAGGCGACGAUCCAUAGGUGGUCUGAGAGGAUGAUCAGCCACAUUGGGACUGAGACACGGCCCAAACUCCUACGGGAGGCAGCAGUGGGGAAUAUUGGACAAUGGGCGCAAGCCUGAUCCAGCCAUGCCGCGUGAGUGAUGAAGGCCUUAGGGUUGUAAAGCUCUUUCACCGAUGAAGAUAAUGACGGUAGUCGGAGAAGAAGCCCCGGCUAACUUCGUGCCAGCCGCCGCUGUAA
rnacentral:rRNA from 1 species